AUUGAACGCUGGCGGCAGGCUUAACACAUGCAAGUCGAGCGGGGGAAGGUAGCUUGCUACCGGACCUAGCGGCGGACGGGUGAGUAAUGCUUAGGAAUCUGCCUAUUAGUGGGGGACGACAUCUCGAAAGGGAUGCUAAUACCGCAUACGUCCUACGGGAGAAAGCAGGGGAUCUUCGGACCUUGCGCUAAUAGAUGAGCCUAAGUCAGAUUAGCUAGUUGGUGGGGUAAAGGCCUACCAAGGCGACGAUCUGUAGCGGGUCUGAGAGGACGAUCCGCCACACUGGGACUGAGACACGGCCCAGACUCCUACGGGAGGCAGCAGUGGGGAAUAUUGGACAAUGGGGGGAACCCUGAUCCAGCCAUGCCGCGUGUGAGAAGAAGGCCUUAUGGUUGUAACGCACUUUAAGCGAGGAGGAGGCUACUUUAGUUAAUACCUAGAGAUAGUGGACGUUACUCGCAGAAUAAGCACCGGCUAACUCUGUGCCAGCCGCCGCCGUAA
rnacentral:rRNA from 1 species